UGACCGCAUUCUGAGGGGCAGCCCCAGCUCCUUGCAGAUGCUCUUUAAGACGAUCUCUUUUGCCUUUGCAGUACCCCUUCCACCGCCUGCUGGAGGGUGACCCUCGUCCUUCCUACAUCGUGAGAAGGGAGUAUGACCAGCAGCUGGGAGAGAGGCUGAAGGGGAAGGACGGGUGCCAAAGCCCUGCAGGACAGACAGCACCAAAGGGGUGGCAGAACAAGCCACAGCUCCCGGGGACAUCACGGGAACAGAAAGGAGAGAAAAUGAGGCUCUUGGACCACCAUGGGGAGACCCAGGGCCUGUGAGGCAGCUUCCAGCUGCAGCAGCCGUAGCCAUCCCAGCCUACACCAAAACUCUGCUUCAGGCGCCAGCGACUGCACCCAGGCGCACUCAGGCAGAACCUCCCGCUGCUGCAUGCUGCCACCUUUGUAGGGGGAGAGCUGUCAGCAGCGGGGGCGAGGGGCAUCUUCAGAAAAGUAACUUAACA
rnacentral:lncRNA from 1 species